UUGACCUCGGAUCAGGUAGGACUACCCGCUGAACUUAAGCAUAUCAAUAAGCGGAGGAAAAGAAACCAACAGGGAUUGCCCCAGUAACGGCGAGUGAAGCGGCAACAGCUCAGAUUUGGAAUCUGGCCCCCAGGGCCCGAGUUGUAAUCUGGAGAGGAUGCUUCUGGCGCGGCGCCUUCCGAGUUCCCUGGAACGGGACGCCGGAGAGGGUGAGAGCCCCGUACGGUUGGACGCCUAGCCUUUGUGAAGCUCCUUCGACGAGUCGAGUAGUUUGGGAAUGCUGCUCAAAAUGGGAGGUAAAUUUCUUCUAAAGCUAAAUACCGGCCAGAGACCGAUAGCGCACAAGUAGAGUGAUCGAAAGAUGAAAAGCACUUUGAAAAGAGGGUCAAACAGUACGUGAAAUUGUUGAAAGGGAAGCGCCCGUGGCCAGACUUGUGCCCCGCGGACCACCCGGCGCCCUCAGCGCCGGUGCACUCCUCGGGGCGCAGGCCAGCAUCGGUUUUCCUAGGGGGAUAAAGGCGGCGGGAACGUGGCUCCCUCGGGAGUGUUAUAGCCCGCCGCGCCAUGCCCCUGGGGGGACCGAGGACCGCGCUUCGGCAAGGAUGCUGGCGUAAUGGCCACCGGC
rnacentral:rRNA from 1 species